GCCGAUGUAGCUCAAUAGGCAGAGCAAUCCCUUCGUAAGGGAUAGGUUGGAGGUUCAAUUCCUCUCAUCGGCUCCA
rnacentral:tRNA from 5 species